rnacentral:rRNA from 1 species
UGGGGAAUAUUGCACAAUGGGCGCAAGCCUGAUGCAGCAACGCCGCGUGAACGAUGAAGGUCUUCGGAUCGUAAAGUUCUGUUGCAGGGGAAGAUAAUGACGGUACCCUGUGAGGAAGCCCCGGCUAACUACGUGCCAGCAGCCGCGGUAAUACGUAGGGGGCUAGCGUUAUCCGGAUUUACUGGGCGUAAAGGGUGCGUAGGUGGUCUUUCAAGUCGGUGGUUAAAGGCUACGGCUCAACCGUAGUUAGCCUCCGAAACUGGAAGACUUGAGUGCAGGAGAGGAAAGUGGAAUUCCCAGUGUAGCGGUGAAAUGCGUAGAUAUUGGGAGGAACACCAGUAGCGAAGGCGGCUUUCUGGACUGCAACUGACUCUGAGGCACGAAAGCGUGGGUAGCAAACAGG